rnacentral:rRNA from 1 species
GAAUAUUGGACAAUGGGCGCAAGCCUGAUCCAGCCAUGCCGCGUGUGUGAAGGAGGUCUUCGGAUUGUAAAGCACUUUAAGUUGGGAGGAAGGGCAGUUGACUAAUACUCUGCUGUCUUGACGUUACCGCCAGAAUAAGCACCGGCUACCCCUGUGCCAGCAGCCGCGGUAAUACAGAGGGUGCAAGCGUUAAUCGGAAUUACUGGGCGUAAAGCGCGCGUAGGUGGCUAAGUAAGAUGGGUGUGAAAUCCCCGGGCUCAACCUGGGAACUGCAUCCAUAACUGCUUGGCUAGAGUACGGUAGAGGGUAGUGGAAUUUCCUGUGUAGCGGUGAAAUGCGUAGAUAUAGGAAGGAACACCAGUGGCGAAGGCGACUACCUGGACUGAUACUGACACUGAGGUGCGAAAGCGUGGGGAGCAAACAGG